UACAGAGGUCUCAAGCGUUGUUCGGAUUCAUUGGGCGUAAAGGGUGCGUAGGCGGCGCGGUAAGUCGGAUGUGAAAUCUCGGAGCUUAACUUCGAAACUGCAUUCGAUACUGCCGUGCUUGAGGACUGGAGAGGAGACUGGAAUUUACGGUGUAGCGGUGAAAUGCGUAGAUAUCGUAAGGAAGACCAGUGGCGAAGGCGGGUCUCUGGACAGUCCUGACGCUGAGGCACGAAGCGUGGGAGCAAAAGGG
rnacentral:rRNA from 1 species